rfam:Schistosoma haematobium scaffold1120_15, whole genome shotgun sequence.
AUACAGAUGACGUGUCCCAAAUAGGAUGAAACGUAUGUCCUAGAU